rnacentral:tRNA from 2 species
AGGGGAAUCAUCCAAUGGCAGGAUGACAGUCUCCAAAACUGUUCAUGGGGGUUCGAAUCCCUCUUCCCCUG